GCCCCUGUAGCUUAGUGGUAAAGCAGUUGACUCUUAAUCAAUUGACGAGGGUUCGAUUCCUUCCAGGGGCACCA
rnacentral:tRNA from 1 species